CUCGACCUGACAAUACGAUGCCACGUCAUGACGUGACAAUGUGCAACUUAAGUUUUUCGAUUUUCUUCUCCCAGUUAAACUCUGUUUUUAGUUUUCCACUUAAACUCUGAUUUCCUAGGGUUGUUGUAGUCAUAUAUGCUACGAAUUUCAGCUUAUAAAUAAGCCUUAGUUACUCUAGAUUCACACACAACAAAAAUAUUCAGAUUGAGAGAAUUCUGUUCUUUGUUUUGAAAGGUUUUGUUUUAGGGAAUCUGGGUUUUUCUUUAAUACUUUCCAUCUUUUGUACUCUCAUUUAUUAUAGUGAAAUCUCAUUUUGCCUGGUUUUUUAUCCUCAUUUGAAGAAUUUUUUCUAUGUAAAAUUUAUGUGUUCGAUCUUUUCGAUUUUAUUAUAUUUAAUUUUUUGUUGCAUACACGGGUUAAUUCCCUACAAAAUAGUAUCAGAGCUAGUUCAGUUUCCAUAUUCAUCCUGUUCAGAGAUGGCAACAUCAAGGUUUGAUAUCGACAAGUUUGACGGCAUUGCAAAUUUUAGUCUAUGGCAAGUUCGCAUGUCAGCAAUUUUGAUUCAGAGUGAUCUUGAGAGGAUCCUUGUAGCGAGGAAACCUGAUGACUUGGAACUGUAACCUCCCAAACUCAGCCUAGAUGUUACGACCGAAUCAUGAAGGUCACAUUAGACACCUUAGUGUCGAACCUACUCUAACGACAAUUUAAAACCUUCAAGUACUCUUUUUUAUAAAAUCGUGGUUUCUAUUGUUAACUUUGGAAAACGUUCAUUUACUUAGUCCAACUAUGCUUUAGUCAAAUUAGUGAAUUCGGUGAAUUUUUAUAAAACCUAAUUGUCGACAUUGGUUUAGAAAAAUAAUUUUGAAUACCUUCUUAGCAGCGGAAAAAUAUCAUUAC
rnacentral:lncRNA from 1 species